rnacentral:rRNA from 1 species
GACGAACGCUGGCGGCGUGCUUAACACAUGCAAGUCGAACGGAAAGGCCCUGCUUUUGUGGGGGGCUCGAGUGGCGAACGGGUGAGUAACACGUGAGUAACCUGCCCUGGACUUUGGGAUAACUUCAGGAAACGGGGGCUAAUACCGGAUAGGAGCUCCUGCUGCAGGGGGGGGGUUGGAAAGUUUCGGCGGUUGGGGAUGGACUCGCGGCUUAUCAGCUUGUUGGUGGGGUAGUGGCUUACCAAGGCUUUGACGGGUAGCCGGCCUGAGAGGGUGACCGGCCACAUUGGGACUGAGAUACGGCCCAGACUCCUACGGGAGGCAGCAGUGGGGAAUAUUGCACAAUGGGCGGAAGCCUGAUGCAGCAACGCCGCGUGCGGGAUGACGGCCUUCGGGUUGUAAACCGCUUUCGCCUGUGACGAAGCGUGAGUGACGGUAAUGGGUAAAGAAGCACCGGCUAACUACGUG